rnacentral:misc_RNA from 1 species
GAUGAAGAACGUAGCGAAAGGCGAUAAGUAGUGUGAAUUGCAGAAUUCAGUGAAUCAUCGAAUCUUUGAACGCACAUUGCGCCCUUUGGUAUUCCAAAGGGCAUGCCUGUUCGAGCGUCAUUUGUACCCUCAAGCUUUGCUUGGUGUUGGGCGUCUUGUCUCUAGCUUUGCUGGAGACUCGCCUUAAAGUAAUUGGCAGCCGGCCUACUGGUUUCGGAGCGCAGCACAAGUCGCACUCUCUAUCAGCAAAGGUCUAGCAUCCAUUAAGCCUUUUUUUCAACUUUUGACCUCGGAUCAGGUAGGGAUACCCGCUGAACUUAAGCAUAUCAAUAAGCGGAGGA